AUGCGGCUGUCGGUCGCUGCAGCGAUCUCCCAUGGCCGCGUAUUUCGCCGUAUGGGCCUCGGUCCGGAGUCCCGCAUCCAUCUGUUGCGGAACUUGCUCACAGGGCUGGUGCGGCACGAACGCAUCGAGGCACCAUGGGCGCGUGUGGACGAAAUGAGGGGCUACGCGGAGAAGGUGAGGAGCGGGGCCCUCUUGUCCACUCUGCGGGUCUGGUCUGAGGGGGCGGAGCCGGCUGCAAGUGGAAAGGGACCGGGACCAACCUGGUAAACCAUUCCCCAAGUCUGAGUCCCCCAGAACCUUGGGCUGAACCCGCCCCUCCAUCGCUUCUAAUGGAAGACUGGUUAGGGCUGCGGAGUUAGGGGUGGCGUAGAUUGGAGAUGCUUUGCUAGUGGAAAGAAUGGAUUGCCGUCCGGCAUUAGAGAAAUUAGAUUGGCACCUUGUUUUCUUGCUCGGUUGGAUCCGUGAUGUUACGUCCUCACAGCUCAUCGACUAUGGGAGGCUGGGAGACACUAACGAACGAGCCAUGCGCAUGGCUGACUUCUGGCUCACAGAGAAGGAUUUGAUCCCAAAGCUGUUUCAAGUACUGGCCCCUCGGUACAAAGAUCAAACUGGGGGCUACACAAGAAUGCUGCAGAUCCCAAAUCGGAGUUUGGAUCGGGCCAAGAUGGCAGUGAUCGAGUAUAAAGGGAAUUGCCUCCCACCCCUGCCUCUGCCUCGCAGAGACAGCCACCUUACACUCCUAAACCAGCUGCUGCAGGGUUUGCGGCAGGACCUCAGGCAAAGCCAGGAAGCAAGCAACCACAGCUCCCACGCAGCUCAAACACCAGGGAUUUAACUGGAUCUGAAGAGUCUGCAGCCCUUAAUCAGUACCCAUGAUAACAGGCCUUUGGAGCACUUUUACUCUCUGAGAAGAACUGGAGCUAGAGAUGUAAAAUGGACAGUCUUGAUGGGGUUGAGAACCUUCUGGGGAGCCAGAUGACCCUCUCUUUGCACAAUAGAUAA
rnacentral:sRNA from 1 species